UACGUAGGGGGCAAGCGUUGUCCGGAUUUAUUGGGCGUAAAGAGCGUGUAGGCGGUUAUGUAGGUCCGCUGUGAAAACUCGAGGCUCAACCUCGAGACGCCGAUGGAAACCAUCUAACUAGAGUCCGGAAGAGGAGAGUGGAAUUCCUGGUGUAGCGGUGAAAUGCGCAGAUAUCAGGAAGAACACCCGUGGCUAAGGCGGCUCUCUAGGACGGUACUGACGCUGAGACGCGAAAGCGUGGGGAGCGAACAGG
rnacentral:rRNA from 1 species